rnacentral:rRNA from 1 species
AUUGAACGCUGGCGGCACGCCUAACACAUGCAAGUCGAGCGGUAACAUGGGUUGUAGCAAUACAACUUGAUGACGAGCGGCGGACGGGUGAGUAACACGUAGGAACCUGCCCAAUAGUGGGGGACAACCAAGGGAAACUUUGGCUAAUACCGCACGACCUCGGGAGAGGAAAGUUGCCCGCGAGGGUGACGCUAUUGGAGGGGCCUGCGGCCGAUUAGCUAGUUGGUGAGGUAAACGCUCACCAAGGCGAUGAUCGGUAACUGGUCUGAGAGGACGACCAGUCACACUGGGACUGAGACACGGCCCAGACUCCUACGGGAGGCAGCAGUGGGGAAUCUUGGACAAUGGGGGCAACCCUGAUCCAGCGAUGCCGCGUGGGUGAAGAAGGCCUUCGGGUUGUAAAGCCCUUUAGGUUGGGAGGAAGUUUGCGUGAGGAUAAUUCACGUAGAUUGACUGUACCGACAGAAUAAGCACCGGCAAACUCUGUGCCAGCAGCCGCGGUAA